UCACUCACUCUGUCUUCUUUUCUUUUUCAUUUUCUCUCAACACAACAAACACUCAUCUGUAUCACUCCCUCACACUCUCCCACCGGUACACUCCACACCACCAUCUCCACAAUUAUUUUUUCGGCAAGAUCACCGGAAAAUCCUUAAGGACCUCUAAUCACCUUCACAUAUUUUAUUUGAAGUAAAAGUUUCUAAUCUUUUUGGAGUAGGGGAGCAUAGGAAAAGUUCACACACUGCUUGAGACUCUUGGUACUUAGCUGCUAAUUGAGUUUUGUAGGAAGUUCUUUAGUGCAGCCAAGAGCCACAGCAUGAAGAAACAAUGUUUUUGUACAUGGAGCUAGUUUUGUAUAGUUAUCCUACUAUUUUGUGUAUAUAUAGCAAAAUUGAUAUAUAUGUAUAAAUAGUCUUCCAUUGUAUUAGGGUAAUUUUGUCCACAUGAUAUUAUGGUUUUGUAUAAACAGUUUAAAAGAAGCUCUGGUUACUAUCACUUCCCGUAAAUGGACAAGUUUAUCCAUAUAUUUUGAGUAAACAAGGAGUACGUUUAUAAUGUUA